AGUCGCUAGCCAUGCGAGUCAUAUGUUCUUCGUGAACAUGGCGUACUGCUCAGUAACACGUGGAUAACCUGCCCUUGGGUCCGGCAUAACCCCGGGAAACUGGGGAUAAUUCCGGAUAACGCAUAUAUGCUGGAAUGCUUUCUGCGUAAAAUGGAUUCGUCUGCCCAAGGAUGGGUCUGCGGCCUAUCAGGUAGUAGUGGGUGUAAUGUACCUACUAGCCGACGACGGGUACGGGUUGUGAGAGCAAGAGCCCGGAGAUGGAUUCUGAGACAUGAAUCCAGGCCCUACGGGGCGCAGCAGGCGCGAAAACUUUACAAUGCGGGAAACCGUGAUAAGGGGACACCGAGUGCCAGCAUCAUAUGCUGGCUGUCCGGGUGUGUAAAAUACACCCGUUAGCAAGGGCCGGGCAAGACCGGUGCCAGCCGCCGCGGUAACACCGGCGGCCCGAGUGGUGAUCGUGAUUAUUGGGUCUAAAGGGUCCGUAGCCGGUUUGGUCAGUCCUCCGGGAAAUCUGAUAGCUCAACUAUUAGGCUUUCGGGGGAUACUGCCAGGCUUGGAACCGGGAGAGGUAAGAGGUACUACAGGGGUAGGAGUGAAAUCUUGUAAUCCCUGUGGGACCACCUGUGGCGAAGGCGUCUUACCAGAACGGGUUCGACGGUGAGGGACGAAAGCUGGGGGCACGAACCGGAUUAGAUACCCGGGUAGUCCCAGCCGUAAACGAUGCUCGCUAGGUGUCAGGCAUGGCGCGACCGUGUCUGGUGCCGCAGGGAAGCCGUGAAGCGAGCCACCUGGGAAGUACGGCCGCAAGGCUGAAACUUAAAGGAAUUGGCGGGGGAGCACAACAACGGGUGGAGCCUGCGGUUUAAUUGGACUCAACGCCGGACAACUCACCGGGGGCGACAGCAAUAUGUAGGCCAAGCUGAAGACUUUGCCUGAAUCG
rnacentral:rRNA from 1 species